rnacentral:rRNA from 1 species
GUAAACGGCGGCCGUAACUAUAACGGUCCUAAGGUAGCGAAAUUCCUUGUCGGGUAAGUUCCGACCCGCACGAAAGGCGUAAUGAUUUGGGCACUGUCUCAACGAGAGACUCGGUGAAAUUUUAGUACCUGUGAAGAUGCAGGUUACCCGCGACAGGACGGAAAGACCCCAUGGAGCUUUACUGUAGUUUGAUAUUGAGUGUUUGUGUCACAUGUACAGGAUAGGUAGGAGCUGAAGAAUCCGGGACGCCAGUUUCGGAGGAGGCAACGGUGGGAUACUACCCUUGUGACAUGACCACUCUAACCCGCACCCCUUACCGGGGUGGGAGACAGUGUCAGACGGGCAGUUUGACUGGGGCGGUCGCCUCCUAAAAUGUAACGGAGGCGCCCAAAGGUUCCCUCAGAAUGGUUGGAAAUCAUUCGUAGAGUGUAAAGGCAGAAGGGAGCUUGACUGCGAGACCUACAAGUCGAGCAGGGACGAAAGUCGGGCUUAGUGAUCCGGUGGUACCGUAUGGAAGGGCCAUCGCUCAACGGAUAAAAGCUACCCUGGGGAUAACAGGCUUAUCUCCCCCAAGAGUUCACAUCGACGGGGAGGUUUGGCACCUCGAUGUCGGCUCAUCGCAUCCUGGGGCUGAAGUCGGUCCCAAGGGUUGGGCUGUUCGCCCAUUAAAGCGGUACGCGAGCUGGGUUCAGAACGUCGUGAGACAGUUCGGUCCCUAUCCGUCGCGGGCGUUGGAAAUUUGAGAGGAGCUGUCCUUAGUACGAGAGGACCGGGAUGGACACACCGCUGGUGUACCAGUUGUUCUGCCAAGAGCAUCGCUGGGUAGCUAUGUGUGGACGGGAUAAACGCUGAAAGCAUCUAAGCGUGAAGCCCCCCUCGAGAUGAGAUUUCCCAUCAUUUUAAAUGAGUAAGACCCCUGAGAGACGAUCAGGUAGAUAGGCUAGAAGUGGAAGUGCCGCGAGGCAUGGAGCGGACUAGUACUAAUCGGUCGAGGACUUAACCAC